UUCCGCUGUGUCAGGGGCUUGCCCCGCGAAGCUGCCCGGCGCGGACGAAGCUUCCAGCCACCAUGGUGCAUGCAUUCCUGAUCCACACGCUGAGUAACCAGGCCACCGGGGAUGUGGCGUUCUGCCGAGUGCUGUAUUCACGAGUAUUUGGGUCAGAGAGGUCACCAGAUGACCCCCGGCCUCAUGGGGCAGAGAGGGACCGGCUGCUCAGGAAGGAACAGCUGUUGGCUGUAGCAAGACAGGCAGAGUCGGCGUGUAAGCUGCUGCAGCAAGCGUCAGGCCGGCCUCCCUCGGACCUCCUCCCCCAGGCCUCUGAUGAGCCCAUCCCCCUGCACGAUGCUCCCUCGGGGGUCUUCCGCCUUCGACCUGGGGACCCCUUCCAGGAAGCCAAGGUUGUCGUGUGGCUUAGGGUCCUGUCCAUAGGCUGUGCCUUGGUUUGUGAGCUUCAUGAGAACCUGCCACUGGCCGAGAGCACCCUGCGUCUGCUCAUGCGCCUGCUCUUGGAUCACCUGAAGCUGCUGUCCUCGGGCAGCGACAUUCUCCUCAGAGCAGACCGGAUCGAGAUCAUCCUCAACCACUUCCUUCCGCAGGGCCAGCUGCUCUUUCUCAACGACCAGUUUGUUCAGGGAUUGGAGAAAGAACUGAGUGCCAGCCUGCCCCGGUGAGGGCCGCCCAGGCUGGACACCUGAGGCCACGAGGGGACCCCGCUUGUCCGGCCACUUCUCUGAGUGUGGACUCUGCCGCUUGGCCCCUGACUCAGCGGGCCAAGUGUCUGCAGAAUGUGACACAGCCCUGAGAGGCCCUAUGGGACUGACCGCCGUGUCUGGUUUGUCAGAAGAAGCCCUGGACCUGAGAUGCCCUAAUUCUCGAUUGCUGCCCACUCUGCCUCCGCAGGAGAGUCUUCCUCUCUGGUGCUCAGUGGCUCACAGCUCCAUCCAGCUUGCUCCACUCCAGCCAGGGGAUUGAUUGGAGAGACCAAAGCCACCACCCAGUUCCCUCACUAUCUCAUGGAUACAAACGCAGGUCCGGAGGAAUGUCAUUUGAAUGGUGGCGGUUAUAUCCUAUUAAAAGGAAACCACGGCCUUUCCUCACAAGAAGGACUAAAGAUGGGAGAAGAAAAGAGGCCCAGAGAGAGAGCAGGAAGAGCAAAGGUCCCCGCUGCCAAGGAAGCUUGUCCCACACUUGUUCACGCUGUGGCUCAUCUUAGAGGCCCAGGUGCGGCCCUGGGUACCUGGAGCUUACCUCAAAGUGGCUUCUCUUGAAACUUAGGGGCCUGUGGGAGUGUCUCCUCUGGGGGGACCUGUGGCCAAAGCAUGUGCCUGGGUCAGACAGUCCCAGGAGCAGCACCAGGUUUGGCCUGGCAGGUCCCAGGGCAGCACAGACGGUGCUGAGCUGAGCUUCCAGCUGGCGGUUUUCCAGCCUUUCGGGAUGUGCCGCAUUUGGCAUCCCCGGCCAGCCUGGCCUUCUGGGACAUGGGCCACCCCAUGCCACACUGCCAGCAGGCCCAGGAGGAGACAAGAGAGCAGGCCGCGAAGCCCUUGGGAUUGUGAUGAGCUGUGGUGCUUGUUCAGGGACCUCGACCCUCUGGACCCAACCUGCUCCACUGGGUUUGGCGUCUGAAGUCAGGCUCUGCCACCCAGGACUCUGGAUCUUGGGGUGAUGGAUAAGUGCUCUUUCCUUCCUUCUUUCUUUCUUUCUUUCUUUCUUUCUUUCUUUCUUUCUUUCCUUCUUUCCUUCCUUCCUUCCUUCC